AUGUUUGUCUUUUUUUUUUUUUUUUUUUUUUUUUUUUUUUUUUUUUUUUUUUUUUUUUUUUUUUUUUUUUUUUUUUUUUUUUUUUUUUUUUUUUUUUUUUUUUUUUUUUUUUUUUUUUUUUUUUUUUUUUUUUUUUUUUUUUUUUUUUUUUUUUUUUUUUUUUUUUUUUUUUUUUUUUUUUUUUUUUUUUUUUUUUUUUUUUUUUUUUUUUUUUUUUUUUUUUUUUUUUUUUUUUUUUUUUUUUUUUUUUUUUUUUUUUUUUUUUUUUUUUUUUUUUUUUUUUUUUUUUUUUUUUUUUUUUUUUUUUUUUUUUUUUUUUUUUUUUUUUUUUUUUUUUUUUUUUUUUUUUUUUUUUUUUUUUUUUUUUUUUUUUUUUUUUUUUUUUUUUUUUUUUUUUUUUUUUUUUUUUUUUUUUUUUUUUUUUUUUUUUUUUUUUUUUUUUUUUUUUUUUUUUUUUUUUUUUUUUUUUUUUUUUUUUUUUUUUUUUUUUUUUUUUUUUUUUUUUUUUUUUUUUUUUUUUUUUUUUUUUUUUUUUUUUUUUUUUUUUUUUUUUUUUUUUUUUUUUUUUUUUUUUUUUUUUUUUUUUUUUUUUUUUUUUUUUUUUUUUUUUUUUUUUUUUUUUUUUUUUUUUUUUUUUUUUUUUUUUUUUUUUUUUUUUUUUUUUUUUUUUUUUUUUUUUUUUUUUUUUUUUUUUUUUUUUUUUUUUUUUUUUUUUUUUUUUUUUUUUUUUUUUUUUUUUUUUUUUUUUUUUUUUUUUUUUUUUUUUUUUUUUUUUUUUUUUUUUUUUUUUUUUUUUUUUUUUUUUUUUUUUUUUUUUUUUUUUUUUUUUUUUUUUUUUUUUUUUUUUUUUUUUUUUUUUUUUUUUUUUUUUUUUUUUUUUUUUUUUUUUUUUUUUUUUUUUUUUUUUUUUUUUUUUUUUUUUUUUUUUUUUUUUUUUUUUUUUUUUUUUUUUUUUUUUUUUUUUUUUUUUUUUUUUUUUUUUUUUUUUUUUUUUUUUUUUUUUUUUUUUUUUUUUUUUUUUUUUUUUUUUUUUUUUUUUUUUUUUUUUUUUUUUUUUUUUUUUUUUUUUUUUUUUUUUUUUUUUUUUUUUUUUUUUUUUUUUUUUUUUUUUUUUUUUUUUUUUUUUUUUUUUUUUUUUUUUUUUUUUUUUUUUUUUUUUUUUUUUUUUUUUUUUUUUUUUUUUUUUUUUUUUUUUUUUUUUUUUUUUUUUUUUUUUUUUUUUUUUUUUUUUUUUUUUUUUUUUUUUUUUUUUUUUUUUUUUUUUUUUUUUUUUUUUUUUUUUUUUUUUUUUUUUUUUUUUUUUUUUUUUUUUUUUUUUUUUUUUUUUUUUUUUUUUUUUUUUUUUUUUUUUUUUUUUUUUUUUUUUUUUUUUUUUUUUUUUUUUUUUUUUUUUUUUUUUUUUUUUUUUUUUUUUUUUUUUUUUUUUUUUUUUUUUUUUUUUUUUUUUUUUUUUUUUUUUUUUUUUUUUUCAUGUUGUAG
rnacentral:lncRNA from 12 species